rnacentral:rRNA from 1 species
UACGUAGGGGGCCAGCGUUGUCCGGAAUUAUUGGGCGUAAAGGGUGCGUAGGCGGCAUGAUAAGUUAUUGGCGGCAAAUCGAGGCUCAACCUCGUGGAAACUGAUAAUACUGUCUUGCUUGAGUGCAGAAGAGGUUAACGGAACUCCAUGUGGAGCGGUAAAAUGUGUAGAUAUAUGGAAGAACAUCAAUAACGGCGAAGGCAGUUAACUAUUCUGUUACUGACGUUGAGGCACGAAAGCGUGGGGAGCAAAAAGG